rnacentral:misc_RNA from 1 species
GAUGAAUAACGUAGCGAAAUGCGAUACUUGGUGUGAAUUGCAGAAUCCCGUGAACCAUCGAGUCUUUGAACGCAAGUUGCGCCCGAAGCCACUAGGCCGAGGGCACGCCUGCCUGGGCGUCACACGCCGUUGCCCCCCCAUCUACUCCUUCGGGAUUGCGGGGGGGCGGAUGAUGGCCUCCCGUGCGCCUAGCCGCGCGGUUGGCAUAAAUACCAAGUCCUCGGCGACGCACGCCACGACAAUCGGUGGUUGCGAAACCUCGGUUGCCCGUCGUGUGCGUUCGUCGCGCAUCGAGGGCUCGAAAAAAUGCUCGGCUCCGGCUGGGCUUUCAACGCGACCCCAGGUCAGGCGGGGUUACCCGCUGAAUUUAAGCAUAUCAAUAAGCGGAGGA